rnacentral:rRNA from 1 species
GAGGGGCAGCGGGUAAGUAGCUUGCUACUUAUGCCGGCGACCGGCGGACGGGUGCGUAACGCGUAUGUAACCUACCUUUGACAGGGGGAUAACAUCGAGAAAUUGGUACUAAUACCCCAUAACAUCACCGGAGGCAUCUUCGGUGGUUGAAAACUCAGGUGGUCAGAGAUGGACAUGCGUUGUAUUAGCUAGUUGGUGAGGUAACGGCUCACCAAGGCGACGAUACAUAGGGGGACUGAGAGGUCAACCCCCCACAUUGGUACUGAGACACGGACCAAACUCCUACGGGAGGCAGCAGUGAGGAAUAUUGGUCAAUGGACGCAAGUCUGAACCAGCCAUGCCGCGUGCAGGAAGACGGCUCUAUGAGUUGUAAACUGCUUUUGUACGAGGGUAAAUCCCGAUACGUGUAUCGGGUUGAAAGUAUCGUACGAAUAAGGAUCGGCUAACUCCGUGCCAGCAGCCGCGGUAAUACGGAGGAU